GACGAACGCUGGCGGCGUGCCUAAUACAUGCAAGUAGAACGCUGAAGGAGGAGCUUGCUUCUCUGGAUGAGUUGCGAACGGGUGAGUAACGCGUAGGUAACCUGCCUGGUAGCGGGGGAUAACUAUUGGAAACGAUAGCUAAUACCGCAUAACAGUAGAUAUCGCAUGAUAUCUACUUGAAAGGUGCAAUUGCGUCACUACCAGAUGGACCUGCGUUGUAUUAGCUAGUUGGUGAGGUAACGGCUCACCAAGGCGACGAUACAUAGCCGACCUGAGAGGGUGAUCGGCCACACUGGGACUGAGACACGGCCCAGACUCCUACGGGAGGCAGCAGUAGGGAAUCUUCGGCAAUGGACGGAAGUCUGAACGAGCAACGCCGCGGGAGUGAAGAAGGUUUUCGGAUCGUAAAGCUCUGUUGUAAGAGAAGAACGAGUGUGAGAGUGGAAAGUUCACACUGUGACGGUAGCUUACCAGAAAGGGACGGCUAACUACGUG
rnacentral:rRNA from 1 species